CCCGGGCCUUGCGCCAGCGAUGUGAAGGAGGCCGGCGAGGAGGAGCCUCGAGCUGACCCUGGCUGGCAUCUUCAGCAACCCGGGCACCAGGCCGGGCGGUGGCCGCCUCCAGCUCACCACCUCCGAGGCCGCACUUCCGGGCCGCGACGCCGGCGGAACCGAAGUCCGCAGCUGCCCCGACGCGGCGAACCAUUCGGUCAGAGCACGUUUCCGGCGUUUCCAUGGAGACUAGUCGCCGCCGCCAGGCAUCGGAGUCCUUUCCAGUGAGUUGGCUCUUCGCAUCAGGUGACCAAAGUAUUGGAGCUUCAACUUCAGCAUCAGUCCUUGCAGUAAAUAUUCAGGGUUGAUUUCCUUUGGGACUGACUGGUUGGAUCUCCUUGCAGUCCAAGGGACUCUCAAGAGUCUUCUCCA